rnacentral:sRNA from 18 species
GUCAACUUUCUCGGCCCUGACGGAUCGAGCUUGCUCGGUUCUUCGGGAUGGUUGACCAGCCCCAGAAACCCCUGAAAGGGAGGUGACUACGUUGUACACAGGUGUGAAGACCAAUUCCGGGGUGCUUCCUCAGCUCCGGACUCUGGA